AAAUGCCAUAAACAAAUCCACAAAAAAUCAUAUGCAAACUAGACAUGUUCAAGCUCAAUCAUACAAAAAAUCAAUCCAUUUGGAGGUCAAUAGGCAUGGCUAUAAAAAUCAACAAGUUACACAUCAAUGGUGUGACACAAAUUGUCACACCCUACUUCAAAAAUUCAUAGCUCACAAUCCAGAUAAGAUAAAUUCAUGAUAUUUAC
rnacentral:lncRNA from 1 species